rnacentral:rRNA from 1 species
GACGAACGCUGGCGGCAUGCCUAAUACAUGCAAGUCGAGCGGACAGAUGAAGUGCUUGCACUUCUGACGUUAGCGGCGAACGGGUGAGUAACACGUAAGGAAUCUACCUAUAAGCGGGGGAUAACAUCCGGAGACGGGUGCUAAUACCGCAUAAUAUCUUCUUCCGCAUGGAAGAAGAUUGAAAGACGGCUCUGCUGUCACUUAUAGAUGACCUUGCGGUGCAUUAGUUAGUUGGUGUGGUAACGGCCUACCAAGACGAUGAUGCAUAGCCGACCUGAGAGGGUGAUCGGCCACAUUGGGACUGAGACACGGCCCAAACUCCUACGGGAGGCAGCAGUAGGGAAUCUUCCGCAAUGGGCGAAAGCCUGACGGAGCAAUGCCGCGUGAGUGAAGAAGGCCUUCGGGUCGUAAAACUCUGUUAUAAGAGAAGAACAAAUUGUAGAGUAACUGCUACAGUCUUGACGGUAUCUUAUCAGAAAGCCACGGCUAACUAUGUGCCAGCAGCCGCGGUAA